rnacentral:rRNA from 1 species
GAUAGGUUAAGUUAAUAAGGGCGCAUGGUGGAUGCCUUGGCACUAGAAGGCGAUGAAGGACGUGACUAACUACGAUAUGCCUCGGUUAGCUGUAAGUAAGCUUACCCGGGGGUUUCCGAAUGGGGCAACCCGAUCUUAAUGAUCAUCAUCUUUUUGAAUUCAUAGAUUAGAUGAAGCAAACGCUGUGAACUGAAACAUCUAAGUAGCAGUAGGAAAGUAAAGAAAUUUCGAUUC